rnacentral:rRNA from 1 species
UACGUAGGGUGCAAGCGUUAAUCGGAAUUACUGGGCGUAAAGCGUGCGCAGGCGGUUUUGUAAGUCUGACGUGAAAUCCCCGGGCUCAACCUGGGAAUUGCGUUGGAGACUGCAAGGCUGGAGUCUGGCAGAGGGGGGUAGAAUUCCACGUGUAGCAGUGAAAUGCGUAGAGAUGUGGAGGAACACCGAUGGCGAAGGCAGCCUCCUGGGUCAAGACUGACGCUCAUGCACGAAAGCGUGGGGAGCAAACAGG